rnacentral:rRNA from 1 species
ACGGGAGGCAGCAGUGAGGAAUAUUGGUCAAUGGGCGGAAGCCUGAACCAGCCAAGUAGCGUGCAGGACGACGGCCCUAUGGGUUGUAAACUGCUUUUGUCAGGGAAUAAAAAGGAAUACGUGUAUUCCAUUGCAUGUACCUGAAGAAUAAGGACCGGCUAAUUCCGUGCCAGCAGCCGCGGUAAUACGGAAGGUCCGGGCGUUAUCCGGAUUUAUUGGGUUUAAAGGGAGCGUAGGCCGUGCUUUAAGCGUGUUGUGAAAUGUAGGCGCCCAACGUCUGCACUGCAGCGCGAACUGGAGCACUUGAGUACGCAGGAAGUAGGCGGAAUUCGUCGUGUAGCGGUGAAAUGCUUAGAUAUGACGAAGAACUCCGAUUGGGAAGCCAGCUUACUGUAGCGCCACUGACGCUGAUGCUCGAAAGCGUGGGUAUCGAACAGGAUUAGAUACCCUGGUA